AUUGAACGCUGGCGGCAUGCUUUACACAUGCAAGUCGAACGGAAACAGGCCGCAAGGUCCUGUCGAGUGGCGAACGGGUGAGUAAUGCUACGGAACGUGCCCAGUCGCGGGGGAUAACUACUAGCAUGAGUAGCUAAUACCGCAUACGAUCUAUGGAUGAAAGCGGGGGACCGUAAGGCCUCGCGCCAUUGGAGCGGCCGAUGUCAGAUUAGGUAGUUGGUGGGGUAAAGGCUCACCAAGCCAACGAUCUGUAGCUGGUCUGAGAGGACGACCAGCCACACUGGGACUGAGACACGGCCCAGACUCCUACGGGAGGCAGCAGUGGGGAAUUUUGGACAAUGGGCGCAAGCCUGAUCCAGCAAUGCCGCGUGCAGGAAGAAGGCCUUCGGGUUGUAAACUUCUUUUGUUCGGAACGAAACGGCUCUGGUUAAUACCCGGGGCUAAUGACGGUACCGUAAGAAUAAGCACCGGCUAACUACGUG
rnacentral:rRNA from 1 species